GACGAAUGCUGGCGGCGUGCCUAAUACGUGCAAGUUGAGCGAUGAAGAUUGGUGCUUGCACCAAUUUGAAGAGCAGCGAACGGGUGAGUAACGCGUGGGGAAACUGCCUUUGAGCGGGGGACAACAUUUGGAAACGAAUGCUAAUACCGCAUAACAACUUUAAACAUAAGUUUUAAGUUUGAAAGAUGCAAUUGCAUCACUCAAAGAUGAUCCCGCGCUGUAUUAGCUAGUUGGUGAGGUAAAGGCUCACCAAGGCGAUGAUACAUAGCCGACCUGAGAGGGUGAUCGGCCACAUUGGGACUGAGACACGGCCCAAACUCCUACGGGAGGCAGCAGUAGGGAAUCUUCGGCAAUGGACGAAAGUCUGACCGAGCAACGCCGCGUGAGUGAAGAAGGUUUUCGGAUCGUAAAACUCUGUUGGUAGAGAAGAACGUUGGUGAGAGUGGAAAGCUCAUCAAGUGACGGUAACUACCCAGAAAGGGACGGCUAACUACGUGCCAGCAGCCGCCGUAA
rnacentral:rRNA from 1 species